GAUGAACGCUGGCGGCGUGCUUAACACAUGCAAGUCAAACGAAGCACUUUUGAUUGAUUUCCUCGGAAAGAUUUCACUUGUGACUGAGUGGCGGACGGGUGAGUAACGCGUGGGUAACCUGCCUCAUACAGGGGGAUAACAGUUAGAAAUGACUGCUAAUACCGCAUAAGCGCACGGUAUCGCAUGAUACAGUGUGAAAAACUCCGGUGGUAUGAGAUGGACCCGCGUCUGAUUAGCUAGUUGGUGAGGUAACGGCCCACCAAGGCGACAAUCAGUAGCCGACCUGAGAGGGUGACCGGCCACAUUGGGACUGAGACACGGCCCAAACUCCUACGGGAGGCAGCAGUGGGGAAUAUUGCACAAUGGGCGAAAGCCUGAUGCAGCGACGCCGCGUGAACGAAGAAGUAUUUCGGUAUGUAAAGUUCUAUCAGCAGGGAAGAUAAUGACGGUACCUGACUAAGAAGCACCGGCUAAAUACGUGCCAGCCGCCGCGGUAAGAC
rnacentral:rRNA from 1 species